rnacentral:rRNA from 1 species
UACAGAGGGUGCGAGCGUUGUUCGGAAUCACUGGGCAUAAAGGGCGCGUAGGCGGCUUUUCAAGUCAGGGGUGAAAUCCGGCAGCUCAACUGUCGAAGUGCCCUUGAUACUGAUGAGCUCGAGGGAGGUAGGGGUAUGUGGAACUUCCGGUGGAGCGGUGAAAUGCGUUGAUAUCGGAAGGAACGCCGGUGGCGAAAGCGACGUACUGGACCUCUUCUGACGCUGGAGGCGACGAAAGCCUAGGGGAGCAAACGGG